ACCGGGACGUGAAGACUGUGUGACUCUCGAGUCGUACUUUCUUCAACCAUUCACAGCCUAUGAUUUUAUAAACUCUUAAAGUUUAGAAUGUUAUUUGUUGGUCUUNGACCGAUAAAACCUUAUACAACUUUCAACAACGGAUCUCUUGGCUCUCGCAUCGAUGAAGAACGCAGCGAAAUGCGAUAAGUAAUGUGAAUUGCAGAAUUCAGUGAAUCAUCGAAUCUUUGAACGCACCUUGCGCUCCUUGGUAUUCCGAGGAGCAUGCCUGUUUGAGUGUCAUUAAAUUCUCAAAUCUCAUGUUGGUUUAUCUAACAAUUGAGGCUUUGGAUGUGGGAGUAUGCUGGCUUGCUUCAGCUCUCCUUAAAUAAAUGAGUGGUUUUAAAUCAUAUCUUGGUGUUGAUAGUAUAUCUACAUCUUGAGAUAUGGUCUAUAUUAACUGCUUUCUAACUGUCCUCGGACAAUAUUUUGAACCAUUUGACCUCAAAUCAGGUAGGACUACCCGCUGAACUUAAGCAUAUCAAUAAGCGGAGGAAAAGAAACUAACAAGGAUUCCCCUAGUAACUGCGAGUGAAGCGGGAAAAGCUCAAAUUUAAAAUCUGGCAGUCUUUGACUGUCCGAGUUGUAAUCUAGAGAAGCGUCUUCCGUGC
rnacentral:rRNA from 1 species